rnacentral:piRNA from 1 species
UCAGGAUGAAGUGUAAACUCCUCCAUGGG